ACUCCUCUCCACAGUGCAAGGGAGAGCUGGGGCUGCUGCCGAGGCAGGAGCUGGCAGAGCCAUCCCCAGCACAUGGGCUGACAUUGGGGCUGGGCUGAACUGAGGGGGAAUCUUCAUUUAUUCUUCACUCCAGAUUUCAGCGUGGCCAAACAAUUUUUUCCCCUUUAAAACAAAAUAAAAGGGUGCACUUUUGCCUUCUGUCUCAAUCUUUUGCAACCUUCCAACACUGCCUCAAACCUGUUUCAGCCGCUUUCUGUUUUGAAACAGUGAAAAGACAAUCAUAAAGCUCUCUAUAAUCUGUCUCACCCAAGUGACUCAUGCAGAAAUGCCACCAGCCUGUGGCAGUGGCCCCGCGGUCCCCAGGGAUGACUCAGAGCGAGUACAGGAGCAUCCAUGCCGGAGCCUGGUGGGAGCCACGGGUAAUUGCAAAGGGCCCAACAGAUAUGGUAAGAGAAAGCUCCCUGGAGAGAGGAAGCACUGCACAGAGAGGGGGCAGCCGUAGAGAUGAGGAUCCAUCCUUACCCUUCACCCAGAAUGGCAGAAUGGUUGUUGUUGGAAAGGGUCUUUGGGGAUCACCUGGUUGAGCUCAAGCAGAGUGGACUUCUUGGGGCUGGGUCCAGCCAGGUCCAUCAGCAGCCCCAGGGCUCCAUGGAAAGCUGCUCUCCUGCUGGCUGACCCCCAGUACGUACUGGUGCAUGGGGUGAUUCCUCCCCAGGAGCAGGACUUUGCAUUUUCACUUGCUGAGCUUUGUAAGGUUCCCACCUGCCCACCUCUCCAGCCUGCUGAGGUCCCUCUGAAGGCCACCAUGGCCAUGUGUCUGCCCAGUGUUCCUGUUUGGGACCACAGAUAUGAAUAUCCCAGAAGAAAACCAGUGGGGAUAACCUAAAAGGUGUCUUCUAUCUUGGAGGUGAAGAUGGAGACCAGACUGCCUGCCCAUCCAAGGUCUGGAGUGACCCUGUGUCUGCCCUGCCCUGGAUGAGGUCCUUGAGGGCUGCCACAAGGUGUGGGACAUGAGCUGGUGACACUGACCCGAAACGGGCAGUGAGGCCACACCAGCCCUGCACCCUCGGCUCAUCUAAGAGCAGGGCUGUGGUCUGAGCAUCGUUGGCUCUGAUCAAACAGGGGCUUAGAAGAGACCUCCACGCAUGGCUGGGGCUGAAAAGCAGAGCUGCGUCAUGGGGAACAACAGGCAGCUGUCUCCGCUACCAGUGUGUGCUGCUUAUCGGCAGGGCAGUGAGAAGGCUCCAUUUAGGGCUGUGUUUGCUUUGCCCAACUGCGGUGCUGCGAUAGGAGCUGCGGCAAGACACAGCCACUGCCAACGUCAGCACUACGGCUGCCUGCUCCCAUCCCAAACCUCUGCUGGGUCCAGCCCAAAGCCACGUGCCUGCCUUCUCCAGGAUUUCCUCUGUCUGCCCUGCUUAUAUUUGCCCAGUUCACCCCAAUCUGAACCUAUCCGAAAGUCCCCUUCCUGCCUUCCUAAUCCCUCUGUCUCUUUGAAAAGCAAAAAGGGAAUGCUCAGGUUUUGCUUAGUCACUUCCAAAAUGCCCAGCACCAGGGUGAGGAGCUGGGAUUGC